UACGCAAAUUUAUAAGUUUGACAGCUUUCAUAAUAUAUAAUAAAUACCCACGAUGUCACUCAUUCCUUCGUUUUAGAAGUCAUUCUUAAGCACGUAUUUUCUUAAGCACGUGUAAUAAUUUAAAACGAACAGGCUCAUGGUGAUUGGCGACCUUAUGAUUUGUGGAUAUAAUUGUUCAUGAACGUCAUCAAUACCAGGGGAAUCGCCCAGCCGCUGCCUACCGCAAAGUACCGUACGCAAACCUCUUUUGCAAAGAGACACAGUGGAAAAAAGUUCAUUUCGAAGCCGAAUGCUGCCUGACCGAAACGAUCUCUGAAAACGCACUGUGUAUGAACGUAGUGGUUCUAGGUAGUAUGGAUGAACUCUAGCUCGAUGCUGGGCGGUGUGAUGGUAAAAACGAGACGAUCAGAUCAUCUCAAACAGUUCUUCAGCGUACUCCCCAAAAAUAUAAUAAUACAAAACUAAGAAAGAACCGCAGUCACUACGUAGACCAGGCGAAUCCAAAGAACUUAAAAAACUGGAUUCCGAUGCUACAUCUGCAAGUAAGGUCUUCAAUGAAGCUCUUCGAAAUAUUCCUGGCCUCGUAUAUAAGAUCUAUAUUUUAAUGCAAAAAUAUUUAUACAAUAGAAUUAUGAAUUAAAGCACAGCUAGCAGUACUUUAUUGCUAUAUGCCCAUGGAAAAAAAGUUUUACAGACGAACUUAUUUAGUAUGAGGAACAAAAUAUUUUCUAAGCUACCUACUAUCAGAAGCAGUGAUACAGAUUCUAAAAAUCACAACAUACCAUACAUUAACAUAGGCACAAUUAUUUUAAGUCAUUUAGGUUUAUUUGUCGCAAGUACUUGAAUGUGAGUACUGAUACAUCUGAAUAGAAGCACAAGGUCAUAACUACCUUCUUAAAAAUCGUUUGCACUUUUUGUCUUUCCGUGGUGUCUUUACCUCUUUUAUUACAAUAAUUUUGCUACUUAUCUUGUAUAUAAAUAUAGUACUAUUGGCAUAUUAGAAUCAAAUCAACUAUACAUUUAAAAUAUAUUAGAUGAAAAUUUGAUUUUAUGUGUGUCCGAUCUUAUGACUAUAUUCUCGAGACUCGAUAAAAAAACCUAAUUCAAAUUCAACCCAAUCAGCCCACUGUUUAAUUCAAUAGACGAUGUUUUAAUUACAUAUACCAGAGUACAUUGAAAAUUAAAAAGUCUCCGAAACGUCAAAAAUAAUUGAACAAAAAUAAUAAACUCGAGAUUAAAGCAUAAAAA